GAUGAACGCUGGCGGCGUGCCUAAUACAUGCAAGUCGAGCGAACGGACGAGAAGCUUGCUUCUCUGAUGUUAGCGGCGGACGGGUGAGUAACACGUGGAUAACCUACCUAUAAGACUGGGAUAACUUCGGGAAACCGGAGCUAAUACCGGAUGAUAUUUUGAACCGCAUGGUUCAAAAGUGAAAGACGGUCUUGCUGUCACUUAUAGAUGGAUCCGCGCUGCAUUAGCUAGUUGGUAAGGUAACGGCUUCCCAAGGCAACGAUGCAUAGCCGACCUGAGAGGGUGAUCGGCCACACUGGAACUGAGACACGGUCCAGACUCCUACGGGAGGCAGCAGUAGGGAAUCUUCCGCAAUGGGCGAAAGCCUGACGGAGCAACGCCGCGUGAGUGAUGAAGGUCUUCGGAUCGUAAAACUCUGUUAUUAGGGAAGAACAUAUGUGUAAGUAACUGUGCACAUCUUGACGGUACCUAAUCAGAAAGCCACGGCUAACUACGUG
rnacentral:rRNA from 1 species